rnacentral:snRNA from 1 species
AAAGUGGUGGUCCAGGAGAGAUCGA